UGCAAUGAGUAAAGCAUAGUCUUUGGCUUCA
rnacentral:piRNA from 1 species